UACGGGGGGGGGUAAGCGUUGUUCGGAAUUACUGGGCGUAAAGGGCUCGUAGGCGGCCAACUAAGUCAGACGUGAAAUCCCCAGGCUCAACCUGGGAACUGCGUCUGAUACUGGAUGGCUUGAAUCCGGGAGAGGGAUGCAGAAUUCCAGGUGUAGCGGUGAAAUGCGUAGAUAUCUGGAGGAAUACCGGUGGCGAAGGCGGCAUCCUGGACCGGCAUUGACGCUGAGGAGCGAAAGCUAGGGGGAGCGAACGGG
rnacentral:rRNA from 1 species